GCAAGUCGAACGGAGGCCCGAAGCUUGCUUCGGAUACCUUAGUGGCGAACGGGUGAGUAACACGUGGGAAUCUACCUAAAAAUGGGGAAUAACUAUUGGAAACGAUAGCUAAUACCGCAUAAUCCCUGAGGGGUAAAGGCUUCGGCCGUUUUUAGAUGAGCCCGCGCUAGGUUAGGUUGUUGGUAGGGUAAAAGCCUACCAAGCCUGCUAUCUAUAGCUGGUCUGAGAGGAUGAUCAGCCACACUGGGACUGAGACACGGCCCAGACUCCUACGGGAGGCAGCAGUGGGGAAUAUUGGACAAUGGGGGAAACCCUGAUCCAGCAAUGCCGCGUGAGUGAAGAAGGCCCUAGGGUUGUAAAGCUCUUUCAGAAGUGAAGAUGAUGACUGUAACUUCAGAAGAAGAUCCGGCUAACUCCGUGCCAGCAGCCGCGGUAAUACGGAGGGAUCUAGCGUUGUUCGGAAUUACUGGGCGUAAAGGGCGCGUAGGCGGUAUAAUUAGUCAGAGGUGAAAUCCCUAAGCUUAACUUAGGAACUGCCUUUGAUACUGUUAUACUAGAGAACGAGAGAGGUGAGUGGAAUUCCAAGUGUGGAGGUGAAAUUCGUAGAUAUUUGGAAGAACACCAGUGGCGAAAGCGGCUCACUGGCUCGUUUCUGACGCUGAGGCGCGAAAGCGUGGGUAGCAAACAGGAUUAGAUACCCUGGUAGUCCACGCUGUAAACGGUGAAUGCUAGCCGUUUGAGGUUUUACUUCAAGUGGUGCAGUUAACGCGUUAGGCAUUCC
rnacentral:rRNA from 1 species